rnacentral:rRNA from 1 species
UACGUAGGCGGAAAAUUAAGUCAGUAGUGAAAUCCUGCAGCUUAACUGUAGAACUGUUAUUGAUACUGGUUUUCUUGAAUAUAGUUGAGGUAGGCGGAAUGUGUAAUGUAGCGGUGAAAUGCUUAGAUAUCACACAGAACACCGAUUGCGAAGGCAGCUUACUAAGCUAUGAUUGACGCUGAGGUACGAAAGCGUGGGGAGCGAACAGGAUUAGAUACCCUGGUAGUCC